CGGCGGACGGGUGAGUAACGCGUGGGUAACCUGCCUCAUACAGGGGGAUAACAGUUAGAAAUGGCUGCUAAUACCGCAUAAGACCACAGUACUGCAUGGUACAGUGGUAAAAACUCCGGUGGUAUGAGAUGGACCCGCGUCUGAUUAGGUAGUUGGUGAGGUAACGGCCCACCAAGCCGACGAUCAGUAGCCGACCCGAGAGGGUGACCGGCCACAUUGGGACUGAGACACGGCCCAG
rnacentral:rRNA from 1 species